CAAAAUUUCAGAUCCAUUUCAAAUAUCAAAUCAUUUGGACAGGAAAUACUUUACAGUUAAUGUUUAACAGGAAUACAACGAAUUACAGGCUUAAACAUACUUCCAUCUAGACUAAACUUGAUAAGGAUUUUUCACCUUCAAACUCAACUCGUCGUGAGAUGAUUAAAACCUUGCGUUCGAAACUAUAACACUAAAAUCGUUCACGAUAUACCUGCUAAUCCUUAGUCGUUAACAACGACAACAAGAUCACCGACGGUCGUAUUUGCACAAUGAAGCACAAUAUAGGUUGAACACGAAUGUUUAUUUAUCGCCUGUAUUUUUUACUCCGCUUGCUUGUCCCGCUCACGAUCCGAACCGGAUAGAAGAAGCCUCGUUAGCCAUGCUAAUCGGUAUCUGUAUCUAUAAUCGUUAUGUGUAGCUGUAUUACUCUUUCGUUUGGCUUUUUUUUUUCCCCCUUUCCACUGCACUUCUUAGUGCUUGUUUUCUCAGUGCUGGUUCUCCUAUCAUUAUUCGUUUGUAUUCUUCCUAAUUACGGGACACGUAUUACUUUGUGAGGCAUCUAAUAACACCGACAAAGUCUCAGUGAGCCUCUGAAGACAUGGCAUAGGGCCCCCGUGCUACUCUUUAUUUAAUGUUAACUAAGUUACAGCUGCUUACUUUAACCGUGAGCGGGAUCUCCUGUGAUUUCCAGCUUUUAAUCUCACGACCUCUAACUCACAGUGAUAUCUUCAAAUACACUAUAGUAACAGCUGUGUCGCCCGAACGUAAUAACGAAGGAACGUCUGUAGAACGUAACACAUGAAAGGUCUUGUUGCUAUAAACGACAUUUCUCUGUCAUUUUCGUUUCAUCCUAAGGCUAUGUAAAGCUUCGCACAUUUUGUAUCAAUCGCUUUGUCACGAAAAAAAGAUGGGCUGGGGGGGGGUUUCUGCUGGAAAUUUCGUAUAUUCUGUAGACUACAGCGUGAUAAUACCUGAAUAUUUCCAUUUUGUUACCCCUUUUGUAACUCCUCCCUACUGUACAGUACACAGUAUUAUAGCUAUUUCCCCAUAUUUUAGGACUAUUGUACCAUUAAAAUACGUUACACUCGUUAAAAUUAUAAAUUUUAAGAUUAAGGUUUAAGAUGUAGGCUUGGUGUCCGAUCUUGGUUCACGUUUGUAGACAUUUUUCAGAUUAGGUUGAUUAACUUAACCAAAGCGACGUUAUUUCUGAUGUCACACUCCACAGUAGUCGUUCUAUGAAAGACCCAGAGGAAAGUAGACACUCAGGGCUUUCCAGUUUUUCAUUCAUUUCUAAAUUUUUUGUACCUAGCCUACUAGGCUCAAAUGUUAUCAUUUUAAUGUGGCAGGUUUAUACGCGUGUUACUAUCGAUGUUAUUGUGUACCAGUGUUAUUGUGGAGAGGUGUGAAUUAUUUGCCCAGCAGGCGGCUCACACCCCUCCCCUUUCCCUUUCCCAUCGCCCUGCUCGCCAGCAGCUAAACACAGAGUCACGAUACUCUACACACAGAAACCCGACAGUGUCCUGACUCAUCUUAUAUCAGAAAUACGGCGAUAAAAUAAUUCAUUUCUUUAUACUGACUGAAACUGCCCGAUAAGUCGAUUUCCAUUCCGCCAGCUGAAGGGAAUACCGGUGUACUGCGAGAAAGGGUUAAAUCAACUGAAAAGAACAGGUGGCAACAUUGCUAACAUGCUAACACACACACACACAAAAAAUCCCAGGGAGAGAGGGGGAAAAAAGAACUUAACCACAAGAAACACUUGUUACAGAAUUAAGAUCGAUGGAUGCCCUUAAAUGAAUGCUCUUAUGCUGCGUCCGAGAUGAAGUUGCAAAUUCCCCACCUACAACCGGUAAAAACCACCGAAAACACCCCUUCAACUUGCAAUUUCAACACGCCAACUUGGGGUCGUCUUUUCAACUACCAGUUCCUCCCCCGUUUACAGACUGACAUCAAAUCGACAUGGCUGCUCACUCUGUGAACAGUGUUCUAUACUUUUAAAUGGGUUUAUAAAGGUCUUGGCUUGCCACACAGUACGUGGUUAAAUCUAUAACACUGAUCACACUAAUCUCUGUUUUGAGAAUCAUCACCAUUAGAGUUAUUAAAUUCCUAUGCUAUUUGCUAUUGUCUCCUGGCUAGCUUGUUGCUAAGCUACUCGCUGUUGUCCACGGUUGUUGCCGUGCUGCAACUUAAGUCCAAAAUGUUGCAUGUUCAGUAUUGUAGAACAGAACGAAGAGUCACUCAGGUCUGUCACUGUAGAAGUGUAUUUAAAGUAGCUUCUUAUGAGAGCUGUAUGUGCUCCGACAGAGCAAACAAAAGAGGCGUCCAUGUUUGUUUUGUUUAUACAUUAUACAUUUACAUUCACUCAUUUCGUAGACGCUUUUAUCCAAAGCGACUUACAAAUGACUUACAAAUUUUCCCGCACUUCACGUAGCGAACAUCCCGAGGUGGGAAAUUACGUUAUUACAACUCGUAACCACGAACGCAGCAAUAUCAUACUGUACAUAACAGUCUACAACUGUACUGAACGAUAUUUCCUAGUGAUGAACCAACUUAGUUGGCGAUAUUUGUAGAACACAUAAAAGUCUUUCUCUCUUUCACAACCGGUGUCCUUUCCCCUUCUGUAAACUGGCUUUACUACAAGGUCAAUUUUAUCUGUGUUCGGUCUGACCGCUGCUUCAGCUAAAAAUGUUUUAGAAAAACAGAAACGUGUCGCAACGUGACGCUCCAGUGCUGAAUGAGCUUUCGAUAAAUAUAUGUGAUUACCCGCUAAGUUUUAUUAUUUAGUCUCAGAGGCAUCAGAGGCUCGAAUCAUGGGAUAUGGAGAGUCUGAUAUCUUUUGUACGCUUUUCUGGCCACAAGCUUCACGAUCCUGAAGGAUCGACUCUCUACAAUAUCAUAUGCUGGUUUCCGGCAGGAAAAACGAAAUUUUGACACAAUAAACAUUUCACAGAUAUAGUCACUGAACUAAUAUCCAGUGCAUAAACUCCUGUGUUUAAAAGUUAUUAAUGUUUGUUGACGGGCUUCAGGAAAAGAUCUGCGGUCGGUCACUAUCCAGAUCAGUCAAAUUGCCUCUUUCUGUGAAAGUAGGAAGAUUUUGGCGGCGUUUAAUGAUAAAAUAAUUUUAUUGAUGUUUGUUGCAGGUAAAAAGGCUUCUCAAAAUUGCGAUACAAUUUGCAGACAUUUUUGUGGGAAACUACUUGAAUUGGCGAAAUUGGCUUUCGCAGUGAUGUCCGUUGCUAAAUGAGACCUUUUAGCUGUACUCAUAUUCGACGCACGUGAAUCGAAGAAGGCUUUGGCUGAACGCGUGUUGUGAUGACGUCGUACGACGCGUCUCGGCCCAAACCUGAAGCUGCUUCCUGUCAGCCUGAGCAGUUAUACUGCUAUACAUUGGGUUUUUUUUUUUUUAAAUAGCCUAUAUAAAAUAAAUAUAAACUUGUUGAUAUUUUAUCACCACUUUACAGACCUAGCUACUGAGAUGUGCAAGAGCUCCAUGAGCAACAGUUUAAUAAACAUACCUGAUGCUAAAUCAGCAACUUUCCCUUCAAACACUGAACAACCGCUGACACUGAAGAGAAGCACACUCAUCCUGAAAGCAGUCAGAAGAGACUUUUUACCCGAGACCAGAGAUUAAUGUCUGAUUUGGAGCCGAGAUACGAGAUCUGAUUUGAAAUCAACACUCGCACGCAAGUUUAAACCUCAGUACGACGCUGAGAUGUAGUCGGAUGGUCCAAAAAAUGUCACUACAGAAGGAGAUUUGACUUUUUCUGGGGGUUUUGACAAGAAAGACAAUAAGCCGACGGCUGCAAAGAUAACCCGACCAAAAAAAUAAAUAAAUAAAUGUGACAUUUUCGAUGGGCAAAACCAGGGUAAUUUUUUUCUUGACUCAUGGAGUGGUGAGAUAGCGUUCAUCUAACGGCCAUUUAGUGUAAAGCGUCUAGUAAUUUCACGAAUGAUGUUACAUUUUAAAGAACAGAUGCACGCAAAUGAAUCAAAAAAUUCGGGUCGACUACCGUGUUCAUAGUUCCGUACUCAAAAAAAAAAAGAGAAAAACCUCCGAAACCAACAUCCGAUACCACGUGAUGUAAGAUUAGUGUGUGUUGCUACGCUAAUGACACGAAAUGACAGAGAUCUGGAUGCUUUUUGAUUGAUGGUGGCAAUCAAAGCAAAGCAGACUGCAAACUAGGUCCUGUGAUAAUAUUAAGAGGAGGAACUAUAGCAUCUUAUUAUAUUCAAACAGUAUCUUUAAUGUAGCGUGCAAGAGUAUCAGUGAGCGUGAUCAUGUUUUUUAAAAAAAUGACCACAUUGUCCUGUGGGUGCACGAAAGUAUUAGUGAGUGUGAAAUGGGCAUGCAGAGAAACUUUCGCUCGCGAGAGUGAGCAGUUCAGCCAGGGUCUACUGUACACUCUGCUUGAGAGUCAAGUGCAAUUCACAUACAGCUGUAAUGAAAAUGAUUCGACCCCCGUUGCAAAUCAGGUUUACUGUCAAAAUGUACAGACUUUCAGCUGUUUGCGAUGAACAAAUCAAACAAAAGCGAUCGAAAUACUUCAGCACGACGAAUGCUUCAAGUGGUUUCCCCGAAUUCAACUGAAAAUGCGACUUAUAAUGAUUUCUCCAGUUUUAAAAUGAUUCAACCCCUUCAUGGCGAGUAUCUUUAGUACUUCGUAGACACCCUUUUGCUGUUACGACCUGCUGCAGACGAGAUGCAGAGCUUCUGGAAGUGUUCCUGAGGAAUCUUAGUCCAUUCCUCAUGAGCAAUGGCCUCCAGUUCAGUAAUAUUCUUGAGUUUGUGUGCUGCAACCGCCUUCUUCAAAUCCCACCAGAGAUUUUCUAUGGGGUUCGAGUCAGGUGACUGUGAUGGCCCUGUAGAAUCUUCCAGGACUUCUGCAAACAAGCCUUGGUGGAAUUUGAGGUACGCUUGGGAUCGUUGUCCUGAUGGAAGUUUCAAUGACGCCUAAGCUUCAGCUUCGUCACAGACGGCAUGAUGUUUUCUCCUAGGAUUUCCGGAGACUUUAACAAAUCCAUCUUACCUUCCACACGCUGCAGGCUUCCAGUGCCAGAUGAUGCAAAGCAGCGCCAGAGCAUCACCGAGCCACCACCAUGCUCGACUGUGGACAGAGUGUGUUCUUUCUUCAUUCUCUUCCUCCAGACAUACCGCUGAUCCAUCGUGCCAAAAAGUUCCAGUUUUGUUUCAUCACUCACAGAACAGAAUCCCAAAUCUUCUGUGGCUUAUUUAUUUGAUUUCGAGCGACUUUUCUUGUGCUUUUGGGUCAGUAGCGGUGAACGUCUUGGAGUUCUGGCAUGGAAACCUGCGUUUAGUACACACCUUACUGUUCUCACUGUAACCUCCGUGCCUGUUACACCAAGUCUUGCUGCAGGUCUUUUGGAGUCACUCGAGGGUUUUUCACAACCUGCCUUCUCAGAAAUCUGGUUGCAGGCGUUGACAGCUUCCUUUUUCUGCCCCGUCUAGGUAUUUCAUAUGUUUUCUACCCCUAGCCAGUUCAGGUAUUUCAUGUGUUCCAGUUCAAGCACACCUGGUGCAACUAAUGAAGCCCUUGAUUAGUCACAUCAGGUGUGCUUUAGACAAGACCUGUUUGACAUAUUUGUGCUGUUGUGAGGGAUUCUAUUCAGGUGGUUGAAUCAUUUUGAAACUGGACAAAUCAGUUCAAAUAAGUCGCAUUUUCAGUUGAAUUCGGGGAAACCACUUGAAGCAUUCGUCGUGUUGAACCAUUCCGAUCGCUUUCCUUUGAUUUGUUCAUCGCAAACAGCUGAAAGUCUGUACAUUUUGACAGUAAACCUGCUUUGCAACGGGGGUUGAAUCAUUUUGAUUGCAGCCGUACCUGUAUGAACUUACAUAAAACUCUGAAUGAAGAGCACAUAAACAUGAACAGAGCCAAAUAUAAUGUUCCAUGUUGUCCCUGAUUGCUUAAUAUUAAGCAGGUUAUUCAUUUCAGUAUCACCAUCAGUUUCGGCAUCGACAACUACCAAAAAACAUACUCAUCAAAAGGUGGCGAGAUCGACUCUUCAAAGAGAUGGCGAGAUUGUAGCCGGCAGUCGAAUGCGCAAAAUUGGUCUGGUUGGGAAGGAUGAUAUACUCUCUCUCUCUCAGUCCUGUCAAUCACAGCAGCACUAGCCAAUCAUGGGUGUCUGUGGGUUCGUGUAUGCGGAAGAGGGCAGACAGCGCUUUCCUCUGAGCGUGCAUGAGCGGCACAGCAUGCGCGGCAGCUGGAAACGAUGCAGUUGACUAACUUCGUGUGUCUCUAAAGAACUAGAUUACUCAUUUACUCUGUCGGAUCAUAGGGGAGAGCUGGGGACUGGUGGGUGGAAACUGGCAGGUGACCAAACUUCGGACAAAUUCGGGGGGGAAAAAAAACGUAGUCAUACUUGUAUGUGGUCUGAAAAGAAAGAAAAAAGCAAAGAUAGCAUUUCGACAGCUCUGAUACACUACUGAAGGUUAAAAGGAACCAUUUUAGAUCAGAUUUAAAACAAUCCUGCUAUAAAAUCGUUUAUGACUCGCCCUCCUGCUGUGGUUUCAUAACAAACUCUGAACGUAUAAAUACAAACAGUGAUACAGGCUUAUCAAAACACUCAUCGUACCAUCGACGUGUCACACUGUCCACCAUGACUCGUGAAUAUAAAUACGCCCCUGACAUUUCAGUCUCCAAAAGGAAUUCCUUCCGUUUUAUAAUGUUUUUACUUUGAGUUAAUUGACUGCAGCAACAUGUUGUUGUUGUUGUUGUUGUUAUUAAUGGUGUUAUCAGUGUUGGAACGCUUCCAGUUUUUGCAGGUCACUGUAACACACUGUAGUUUUAUCUCAAACCCGGAUUGCCUGCUCCAUUAUCACCCUCCCACACGCACCGCUUCCAGCAGACUGGGUUUCAGAAGUAAGCUGUCACCAGCCGUAUAGUGUACUAAUGACUUAUCUGGGUGUUCAAAAGUGACAAACCUUCUCCACUGUGUCUAUCACACUUCCAGCCCAUAUAUAUUCCAUAUAUAUAUAUAUACACAUUCAUAUAUAAAUAGUCCUGUAGAGGUCAAGACACGAGUGACGGAUGUGUUUCUAGAUGCGAGUGAACUUACAGCAUGACAUCAUGCUAAAAACAAGAAUAACGAUGAUGUCGUCGUAAAAUGUUUCCUUAAUUUAGCGGAUGUGGUUAACAGCUACUUACAUACAGAAAAUUUGACCAUCCGAGUAAAAUGUGUUCUUCUUACGUUCGGAAGCCUGAAAAGCAUCAGAAGACAACCUGAUGUCAUUUUCAUUCGCCGUCAAUCGAGGAAAAUGAGUUCGGACAGCUUUUUUAGGCCGAUAAAUGAAGCCCUUAGGACAGAAACGUGUAGCAGAUGGAAACGAAGAAGAUAUUUAAAUCACACUUCCAGAGAAAUUCCAUGUAAUGACACGAUCCUGAAAGAAGCAUCGAUCCCCUGACUCCUAAAAUCCAAAUUUACAACCGACUGUCUGUCAUCUUGCUAACGAGUCAUUACCGUCAACGAUCGUAACAUCUUCCCGUCUUAAUCCUGCUCUCUUGAAGGCGAUGUGUGACGUUCUCAAGUCCAGCCUGCUGCCUCGCUUCUACCACCAGUCCAUCUGAUUACACUUACUAUACUAUAUGUAGAAUCCAGACUGGGGAUCAGAUACUCACUGACGGAUAUCAGUCCGAUCUAUAAACCCGAAGAGUACUUUUUCUAUAUUGUUGGCUGGAGAAAAAAAAAAAAUGCAUUCGAUGCGAAAAACGAGACUUAUCGUGUCCUAAAUCCAUCAAUCUUCCACUGCCUGUCAUCGGGUCAAUAACAAAAGUUCCUCUGAAUAUUUUUUCAUACAUCAAUGAUGCAGAAACCUUUCCAGUGCUGUUUGAAUCUUAUUUCUGGAGAGCACUCUGUGAUCGUGACAUUCUCCAGACAAUCCUGCCAUGACGGAACUGCACUUUAUCAACCUACCGAGUACCACCUGUUGAUCGGAUUAUAUUUAUACAGGUAGAAUCGGAGUCUGUGAUUAUGGUUAUUAGCCCCGGUAAAAGCCCUACAUCUUCAUAUAUUGUUAGAAAACAAUAUUGAUACUGAAAGAAUAUUGAUCCCCUGCUUCAUAAAUCAUCACUUAUAAUAUGAAUGAUCUUAGUAACAGGUUUAUUAACGACUUAGUGUUUUAAAUAUAGUAUAUUUCAAAAACUUUUCCAGCGUUAGUUUAUUACUUCUUCUUAUUAUUAUUAUUAUUAUUAUUAUUAUUAUUAUUACAACACUUUGUUUGCGCAGCUGAUGAAGGAAUUUGGUCCGAAACAUCUUGUUUACCUGGAAACUUUGUGUACUACGCCUAACUACGCAGAUUUCCAGGCCUGCACUUGAUCACGCUUCCACCUGUCGAUCAGAUCAGAUACUUUGAUUCUGAUUUAAAUCACAUAUUAUGAGUAGGUGAGCAUCUGAUUUGAGAUUUUUACUCCUGGAAAUCUUUUUCAGUCCUGCUAAAAGCCCUCCUGUUUCUAUAUUGUUGGAAAGAAAACGCGAUGCUGAAGGAAUAUCGAUCAAUCCCCUGCCUGUUUUAUUGAUACAUCCCAAUUUACAGCUCACUUUCAGCUUGUUGACUAUUAGUUAUCUUAAAUAUAUAUUUCAAAAACCAUUACAGUUAUACAUCAUAUUAUUAGUUCUUCCUCUCAUUAUUAUUAUUAUUAUUAUUAGUAGUAGUAGUAGUAGUAGUAAUAUACUUCGCCUGAACAGCUGAUGAAGGACGUCGCGCACUACUAUUAACUUUUACUCCAUCGAUAUGUUUCGAAACAUCUCUAUUAUUUCUGGAGAUAGACUUCAGGACUGCGCUUUAUCAGCCUUCUACCUGUUGAUCCGAUUAUAUUUAUACACGUAUAAUCAACGUUUGGGGUUAGACACUUUAGGUAUGAUUUUAAUCUCAUAUAUUAACAGUUGAGCAUCUAAUUUAAGAUUUAUCCACAUAGAUGAAUUCUUUUUUUAAUCAAUCCAUUGCCUGAAAAAUCCCAAUUUACAGCUCGCUGUCAUCAUAUUAAAGGGUAAUUUGCUUGAAUAGUUCACGCAAAUAGUUCCAGCUUUAGUUUAUUAUUAUUUCUUCUCAUUUAUUUAUUUAUAUUAUUAUUAUUACACAUUACUUGCACGGCUGAUGGACCUUUGUCAGAAUCACCUGGUUUCAAUGGAAACUUUGUGUUCCAUGCCUUAAAUAAAUAAAUAAAUAAAUAAAUAAAUAAAUAAAACUGCACCAGCUUCACUGUAUUACUAUUUCUGGAUAAAUCUUGGAGGUUUCCGGGACUGCUGUUUCUCAGCCUUCCACUUGUUGAUCGGAUUAUAUUUCUGCAGCUAUAAUCCGAGUUUGCUUUGCACAGCUCAUGAAGGACUUUUUUUUUCUUUUUUUUUAAAAUCCAAAACAUCCUGUUUUCCCUCGAAACGCUCUGUACUACGCCUAACUUUUACUACAUCUACAUCUCCAGGAUCUCCAGGACUGCACUUUAUCAGCCUCCCUACCUGUUGAUCAGAUUAUAUUUAUACCGUUAUAAUCCGAGGCUGGGAUCAUACACUUUAGCUAUGAUUUGGGUCUUGUAUAUGAACUCUCUGAUUUGAAGAUUUUUCCACCUGGAAAUCUUUAUUAGUCCUUGUGAAAAGUUGACUGUUCCGAUAUUUUUGGCAGGAAUACGAUCCUUUUUAAUAAAUCCCAAUUUAUAGCUCGCUGUCAGUUUAUUACACUUAAAUUACUUUAAUUUACACCACAUUUCCAUGUGUAGUUUAUUAUUAUUUCUUCUUCUUGUUAUUGUGAGUAUUAUUAUUAUUAUUAUUAUUAUUUACACCUUGCUUACACAGCUGAAGGACGUUUUCAUCCAAAACAUCUUGUUUUCUCUGGAAUCUUUCUAUACUACACCUAACUUUUACAACAUCUACAUCUCCAGGACCGUAUUCCCUGCUGAAAUAAUAAAUAAAUAAAUAAAAAAAACAGAAACCAUAGCAGAAAUUCUAAUGGUUUCCACUACAAAUACCAUUACAAACCAUUACCAUUAUUGGUCCUUAAUGGUAUCCACUAGACAUAACACCCCACCAAUAAAAGGCCAUGUCCAGUAGAGUACAUGACCAGUAGAGACCCACAGGGACCAUUACAGUUUCCAUUCAAACCAAUACAAUUCCCAGUAUAACCAUUAAACCCAUUACAAAUUCUAUUUUUUUUGUCUUCAUUCUUUCAGGAGGGCAUUUAUCUGCUUCCCCACCUGUUGACCGGAUUAUAAUUCCCACAGGUAUAAUCCGAGUUUCCUGAUCAGACACUUUGGCUACAGUGUCUCAGUUACACCUGCUCGUCUUGGUGUGAAGGUUCAUAAAUACCAUCCAGGAUAUUUGAGAAGUUCCUGAACAUGUGGAGUGAAGCUUGGGAAGAGAACGUACAGAAAGUGUGGAGAUAGAGAGAGGAGGAGGAGGAGGAGGAAGAGGAGGAGGAAGAGGUUUAGAUAAAAAGUAGAAGGAGAAAUAAUCCUCCAUGCAAGACAGACAUACAGCAGGACCUGAACUCACCGUUAGAUUAGACCUGGUCUGAUCAGCACCUACUUUCUAACACUGAACAACACACAGUAAAGUCUUUCAAAUCUCCUUUAAUUGAUGGCAUGAUGAUGAAUUAAUCCUGUAGUUUGUUUUCUUUAUUUUAUUUAUAUAUCCAGAAGGGAUUCCCUGUGAGUGUCACGGUUAUUCUCCUCCUUCUUCUUCUUCUUCUUCUUCUACUCUCUCUCUCUCUCUGCACUGACAGCCAGCCACCUGAGUUUCUUCUUGCCUUUACUCUCCUCCUCUCUCUCUCUCUCUCUCUCUCUCUCUCUCUGUUCCUUCUCGACGACGUUAUUUCGUUAAUAAAUAAAUAAAUAAACAGACACACACAGCACUACUUACCCAAGCGACCCGGAGCCCCUCGCGGACGCGGCCGCAAAUUUACGGCGGAGUAAAAUAAAUAAAUAAAUAUCGAUUUUCUCUUUAAAAACCUACUUAUAUCGCUGUUGGUCGACCUCAGCGCUUCCACCAGCGGUGACGCAGGCAUGACGACACGCUCAUUUGCAUACCGGUUACGCUAUGCGCGCUCUGAUUGGUCGCGCCGUUUUGAAUCGCAAAAAUAAAACAUGCAACGAAAAAAAUGAAAACCUCCAGUUUUGAUCCCGGAAAAGCUUGCCCAGUGUUUCCUACUGCGCUGUUUAAACUCAUCCCGGAUAGUUUUCGUUCAUUAAAAAUCUUUCGAUGUAUUAGAAUUCAAAAUACAGAAGCGUUAAAAACGGGGCCAACAAAAUGG
ensembl:lncRNA